CACGUAGGCGGAUAUUUAAGUCAGGGGUGAAAUCCCAGAGCUCAACUCUGGAACUGCCUUUGAUACUGGGUAUCUUGAGUAUGGAAGAGGUAAGUGGAAUUCCGAGUGUAGAGGUGAAAUUCGUAGAUAUUCGGAGGAACACCAGUGGCGAAGGCGGCUUACUGGUCCAUUACUGACGCUGAGGUGCGAAAGUGUGGGGAGCAAACA
rnacentral:rRNA from 1 species